rnacentral:rRNA from 1 species
GGGGAAUUUUCCGCAAUGGGCGAAAGCCUGACGGAGCAAUACCGCGUGAGGGAGGAAGGCUCUUGGGUUGUAAACCUCUUUUCUCAGGGAAUAAGUACUGAAGGUACCUGAGGAAUCAGCAUCGGCUAACUCCGUGCCAGCAGCCGCGGUAAUACGGAGGAUGCAAGCGUUAUCCGGAAUGAUUGGGCGUAAAGCGUCCGCAGGUGGUUAUUCAAGUCUGCUGUCAAAGAAUCUGGCUCAACCAGAUAAAGGCAGUGGAAACUGAAAGACUAGAGUAUGGUAGGGGUAGAGGGAAUUCCUGGUGUAGCGGCGAAAUGCGUAGAGAUCAGGAAGAACACCGGUGGCGAAGGCGCUCUGCUAGGCCGUAACUGACACUGAGGGACGAAAGCUAGGGGAGCGAAUGGGAUUAGAUACCCCAGUAGUC